UACGUAGGGUGCAAGCGUUAAUCGGAAUUACUGGGCGUAAAGCGUGCGCAGGCGGUUAUGUAAGACAGUUGUGAAAUCCCCGGGCUCAACCUGGGAACUGCAUCUGUGACUGCAUAGCUAGAGUACGGUAGAGGGGGAUGGAAUUCCGCGUGUAGCAGUGAAAUGCGUAGAUAUGCGGAGGAACACCGAUGGCGAAGGCAAUCCCCUGGACCUGUACUGACGCUCAUGCACGAAAGCGUGGGGAGCA
rnacentral:rRNA from 1 species